UGUUGGGGCGUCUGGAAUUGGGAUGGCAGCUGACAGCGAUGAUGAGCUUGAACUGGGAUAAAAUGGGGUUUGGGAUCAAUGUCUAAUUGCGUUGGGCAAGGUAAUCUGGACGGACGCUUGGGCUUUUGUUUGGGAACUUCCUGAAGACGGGUGUGAUUCGUUGCCUGGAUACCUUGACCUCCGUCGUCUUUUUGACGGGCAAUACCUUCUCGCACUGAAUUGACGCUGGACUGACUGACUUCGAUUCCGGAUUAUCCCUUCUGCUGACUACUGGUGAGAUCUUUGGAUUUCUUGACGACUUCGCUUGGCUGUAGACCUCUGGACCGGAUUGGGACCCUGCUGACUGCCGUUACCCUGACUGCUGUGCCUGGACCUGGAUAUCGUUGGACGCUGAACCCUAAACUGGAUCCCAACUAAGACCACUCUUUUCACUUGCUGCAGGAAGGAAUAAACAAGCCUGGUUUAUUCCCCUGCUGUGUCUGAGUAGCAGAGAGGAACCUGCCACCAGCCUGUUGUUUACGUUUUGUCUCCUGCUGAUUCUCCUUUGUUUGCUAAGAUGAAGUAAGCUCUUUUAUUUAAUCCGGAUUAUACUUCUGUUUAACCCGGUUUAUUCCUUUGAACCGUUUAAGCUCAAACUGAGCUGCUUUUUGUUACUUUUCACACUGAAGUUAAGUGUUUGCCCUGUUCUUUGUCUUUUACGGGCGUUUUUGGUUCUGUAACCUCAAUAAACUGAGUUUUGUUUUA